GUCUUAAGUGUCAUCUGAGGAUAAUCAAUCGUUCAUUGAAAAAACGUCAAAAAACGGAACCAUGGCGGGGCCACCGUCGACUAAAAUAUAAUGCGAAAUCCAAGAAAUUGAAGCAGAUUUAGCUAUGUCGGACAUAGAUCUCUCGGAGGACGAUGACAUGAC